AAGCCUUCCUGUGUGUCAAGUAACAACGUUUCACGAUUUUGAGUAUCCAUUGGGCGAGAGUCUGUGUUCCACAGAGGAUCAAGAGUGAUGAGCAGAUGUCUGUGUCAGAGCAUACCCAGGAGAAGUCCCAACUCAACUCAACAUACAGCCUGCUUCAAUUAAGCAUUUCAGCUCCUGAAAAAGGGAGUAAUGGAAAAUCGAGUCUGUCUUGG